AGUGAACGCUGGCGGUAGGCCUAACACAUGCAAGUCGAACGGCAGCACAGUAAGAGCUUGCUCUUACGGUUGGCGAGUGGCGGACGGGUAAGGAAUACAUCGGAAUCUACUUUUUCGUGGGGGAUAACGUAGGGAAACUUACGCUAAUACCUCAUACUACCUACGGGUGAAAGCAGGGGAUCUUCGGACCUUGCGCGAUUGAAUGAGCCGAUGUCGGAUUAGCUAGUUGGCGGGGUAAAGGCCCACCAAGGCGACGAUCCGUAGCUGGUCUGAGAGGAUGAUCAGCCACACUGGAACUGAGACACGGUCCAGACUCCUACGGGAGGCAGCAGUGGGGAAUAUUGGACAAUGGGCGCAAGCCUGAUCCAGCAAUACCGCGUGGGUGAAGAAGGCCUUCGGGUUGUAAAGCCCUUUUGUUGGGAAAGAAAAGAAGCAGGUUAAUCCCCCGCUGUUCUGACGGUACCUAAAGAAUAAGCAACGGCUAACUUCGUG
rnacentral:rRNA from 1 species